UACGUAGGGGGCAAGCGUUGUCCGGAUUUAUUGGGCGUAAAGAGCGUGUAGGCGGCUUCACAGGUCUGCUGUGAAAACUCGAGGCUCAACCUCGAGCUGUCGGUGGAAACCGUGGGGCUAGAGUCCGGAAGAGGAGAGUGGAAUUUCCGGUGGAGCGGUGAAAUGCGUAGAGAUCGGAAAGAACACCAACGGCGAAAGCACUCUGCUGGGCCGACACUGACACUGAGAGACGAAAGCUAGGGGAGCGAAUGGG
rnacentral:rRNA from 1 species